CCCUUAGAUGUUCUGGGCUGCACGAGCGCUACACUGAAGCUAUCAACACGUUUUCCCUCCCUGAGAAGGGCGGGUAACCUUUUGAAUCAGCUUCGUGGUAGGGAUCGGGGCUUGCAAUUGUUCCCCGUGAACCAGGAAUUCCUAGUAGACGCGAGUCAUAAGCUCGCAUCGAUUAAGUCCCUGCCCUUUGUACACACCGCCCGUCGCUACUACCGAUUGAACGUUUUAGUGAGGCAUUUGGACCGACGCAUCUCAGUUUAACCGCUGGUUUGUGUUGGAAAGACUUCCAAACUUGAGCGUUUAGAGGAAGUAAAAGUCGUAACA
rnacentral:rRNA from 1 species